ACUGCCUGAUGGAGGGGGAUAACUACUGGAAACGGUAGCUAAUACCGCAUAACGUCGCAAGACCAAAGAGGGGGACCGUUCGGGCCUCUUGCCAUCGGAUGUGCCCAGAUGGGAUUAGCUAGUAGGUGGGGUAACGGCUCACCUAGGCGACGAUCCCUAGCUGGUCUGAGAGGAUGACCAGCCACACUGGAACUGAGACACGGUCCAGACUCCUACGGGAGGCAGCAUG
rnacentral:rRNA from 1 species